GUGCUUGCUCCUGCAGAAUAUAUGCUAAAAUUGGAAUGAUACAGAGAUUAGCAUGGCCCCUGUGCAAAUUCCUAAUGUGUUCGACACUUUU
rnacentral:snRNA from 1 species